UAUCUUGGGAAUGACUUGCCUCCUGUUAUUGCACUAUCUUCAUCAGGUUUGUUUUUAAACAGCUUUUGAAGACACACUGGUGACACAUUUGCCUGUUGUGUAAAUUGCUAUUGUGCUCCUUUUCUCGUUCCCUAUCGUUCUUUGUCCAUUAGAUACUAAGCCUGGAGGAAGGUUCCAUGGCAGAGCUACUGCCACUUUCUGGCAUUGUGCUUGUGACUAAGCCUAGCAUGUUUCCUUACUGGUGCACCAAAGAGAGAACAUCACAGUGCACACUCCAGAGAGACAAAAAGUUUCAAGAGACAAUCAGAGAUUUAGGAUACAUGGCUCCCCAGUACUUCUCUGGCAGAAUAAUUUGGCUGAAUUAGCAAUGCUGUCUUCUAGUCCUUCUGUAUGUAUCUCAUGCUAUUGGACUCUUGUAACCUAACUCCAUUCCGGCAAGAAAAUGUUUUCUGCACUGUUACAUCUUUAUGUCUCAUAAUUUGUUUUCCUUUGUGUAGGGAACAUUUGGAGUAAUUCCUAUAUUUUAAGACCUGAAAUAUGUACAGACUAUGGUUAAGUUGUGCCUUUUUGUUGGUUAAAAACAAAGGAAGGA